rnacentral:rRNA from 1 species
UACGUAGGGUGCAAGCGUUGUCCGGAAUUAUUGGGCGUAAAGAGCUCGUAGGCGGUUUGUCGCGUCUGCUGUGAAAAACUCGGGGCUUAACCCCGGGCCUGCAGUGGGUACGGGCAGACUAGAGUGCGGUAGGGGAGACUGGAAUUCCUGGUGUAGCGGUGAAAUGCGCAGAUAUCAGGAGGAACACCGGUGGCGAAGGCGGGUCUCUGGGCCGUAACUGACGCUGAGGAGCGAAAGCGUGGGGAGCGAACAGGA